rnacentral:pre_miRNA from 1 species
AAUACCUCAGUCUUAUCAGGUGUUCUAUACAUUUACCUGGAAAUACUGAGGUUGAGU